GACGAACGCUGGCGGUGUGCCUCACACAUGCAAGUCGAGCGGACGAAGAUUGAAGCUUGCUUCAGUCCAAGUUAGCGGCGGACGGGUGAGUAACACGUAGGAAUCUGCCUUCAGGCGGGGGACAACGGAACGAAAGUUGCGCUAAUACCCCAUAUGCGAGUAAUCGUAAAAGGAGCAAUCCACCGGAAGAUGAGCCUGCGUCCGAUUAGCUAGUUGGUAGGGUAAAAGCCUACCAAGGCUACGGUCGGUAGUUGGUCUGAGAGGAUGAUCAGCCACAAUGGAACUGAGACACGGUCCAUACUCCUACGGGAGGCAGCAGUGGGGAAUUUUACGCAAUGGGCGAAAGCCUGACGUAGCGACACCGCGUGAGCGAAGAAGCCUUUUGGGGNUAAAGCUCUGUCAGCUGGAACGAACACAAUGACGGUACCAGCAGAGGAAGCAUCGGCUAACUACGUGCCAGCAGCCGCGGUAAUGUCUAGC
rnacentral:rRNA from 1 species